GAUGAACGCUGGCGGCGUGCCUAAUACAUGCGAGUCGAGCGAACGGACGAGAAGCUUGCUUCUCUGAUGUUAGCGGCGGACGGGUGAGUAACACGCGGAUAACCUACCUAUAAGACUGGGAUAACUUCGGGAAACCGUAGCUAAUACCGGAUAAUAUUUUGAACCGCAUGGUUCAAAAGUGAAAGACGGUCUUGCUGUCACUUAUAGAUGGAUCCGCGCUGCAUUAGCUAGUUGGUAAGGUAACGGCUUACCAAGGCAACGAUGCAUAGCCGACCUGAGAGGGUGAUCGGCCACACUGGAACUGAGACACGGUCCAGACUCCUACGGGAGGCAGCAGUAGGGAAUCUUCCGCAAUGGGCGAAAGCCUGACGGAGCAACGCCGCGUGAGUGAUGAAGGUCUUCGGAUCGUAAAACUCUGUUAUUAGGGAAGAACAUAUGUGUAAGUAACUGUGCACAUCUUGACGGUACCUAAUCAGAAAGCCACGGCUAACUACGUG
rnacentral:rRNA from 1 species